AAAAAAAAAAAAAGGGUCCCAAUUGGGAGAAAUAUGAUUGGAAUGCCAAUUUAUCAAAGCGCAUAACAAUUAGCAUUUAGGUUGAAAGCGGUAACAAAUAGACAAUUUUAAGGAAUGCAGUAAAUAAAAAAAUAUAAAAAAAGCAUGCAAACACAUAGAUAAAUUAAGCAAAUAAGAAAAGGGAAUAGUGUUAAAACAUGGAGUACCCAAAUAAGGGAAAAGAAAAAGGACAAAACAUGAGAAUAAUCAAAUAAGAAAGAGGGAAAGGGACUAAAGCAUGAAAAUAACAAUAUUUAAGGAAAGCGAGUAAACAAGGAAAUCAAAUAAUUAAUUAGACAUGACAAUAACCAAACAAGCAAUGAAAUGACAAAUAAAGUAAACCCCACAUAAGAACGAAACACGUAAUGGUUAGAACCUAAUAUCCCCAGCAGAGUCACCAUUCUGUCACGCCCCGUUUUUUGCAAAACGGCUUUUGGUGCAGGACCUAACAACUCUUUUGGGCUUUGGAGGAUUGAAGAGUCGCCACCUAACGAAUUAAGGCGCGUUAGGGCACCUAUCUAACUUAGCUAAAUCUAACUAAGGGUCAACGAACCAGAGAUCAGCGUAAGGGUUCAAGUUACCUCGAGGGGAAGGUGUUAGGCAUCCCUCGAGAUCCACAAAUGUGGGUCCCGGCCGUAUCUCAUGCAAUUUAUGUGGAGGUUACAAGUAGCAUUUAAGGUCACUUCAUUUAUUGGUUAUUUAAACAUGUUUGCUAGGUGAUAACUAAUAAUAAACAAUUAGGACCAAUUAUUUAUUUGUUAUUUAAUUAAGCAUGUAAAACUAAGUGAUAACUUAACACUAAAUAAUUAACACAAAUAAAAUUUAAAAGAGAUAGCGAGAAGAUAGAAAGUAGACAAAUAUAUAAGCAAAUGUCACUUUUAUUUAAUUAAACUACCCCAAAUAAAUAUAACUAUAAAAAAACAAGUAAAGGGAGAAAUGAAAGGAAGACUCUGAUAGACUUUACGGAUCAGCACUCGACUUUCUUUAUUUCGGUCGGCUUCUUCUAGGGACAUACAAAACUAAGGUUUGUCAUUAAAACAAAAUCGAUGUCAUCAUCUCCGUAGGGCCUAAACUAUCCCUACCCCACCACCGCAUGCUUUCCGUCUCUAUAAGGUGCCUAGCGACCCCUGCUUAAGGUCCAAGAGGCAUUGGACUACUAUUAGAGUGGAUUUAGACAAAAAUAAAAUAUAUAAUUUCAAAUAGGCCCACCUAGACACCAAGUCAAAUAAAUAGAACAACACUUAACACGUAAAUCUCAUAUUGGCCUCUAGUUUUUUAUUUAUUUAGCAUCCUAGAAAACACACAUAAAGUGAAAGGUCUCAUGCUUAAAUGUGUGCAUAGACAAGCAAACACUCAAUAUAACAAAUAGAUUAAUUUUAAAUGGCCGAAAAUAUUACAAGUCAGGUAAAGCUUAUUAGACUGAUUUAAUUAGUAAUUAAUUUAAAAUGGGCACUUAUAAUAAGGCAAAUGGGCAAAAGUAUUUGAAAGCAAUAACAAAUUAUUAAUGCUGAACUGUUUAUUUCAAGUGGCAGCAAUUUAUUAGACUGAUUUUAAAGGUUGCAGAAAAUUAUUACAGAAAGCCGAUUUUAGUUACGGAUUGAUUUUUAAAAAAAGACAGAAAUAUUAUUGCAAGAGAGUGAUUUAAUAACUCUGUUUUAAAUGGUAGACAAAUUUAAUGUCGCACUUAACAUGCAGGAGAAGACAUUGAUUUAUUUUAAGUAGAAAUUACUUAUUUUAGAUAGAUAAUAUUCAUAACAGACUAAAAAAUAUAUACUGAAAAUUUAUUAGAAGCCUAUAAAUAUGUUAAUUAAGUGAUCAACAUGCUGAAAUUUUAUUAGAAACCUAAUAUAAAUUUAUUAACUGAAUAGCUUAAGUUACUAAAACAUGCAGAAAUUAUUCAAACUAACUAGUUAGCAUCAUCGAUUUUAUUGUUUUAGUCCUAUAGGCAUGAUUUCUAGAUAAGAAAUGAGAAGUCACUUGAAACCUAUAUGCAUAAUUUCUACACCCAAAUAAUAUAUUAAGAAUUAUGCAACUCCUAUUGGCAUGGUAUCUAAGUAUGCACAAGUUGAGAUUUAUUUUCUUAGGCAUGUAUUAAAACUAUUUAAACCUAUAUGCAUAAAUACUACACUAAAGUAACAUGUUUUAAAAUUAUUUAAAUCCCUAUUGACAUAUUUUCUAAAAUUGCAGAAUUAUUGUAAAAAUAAAUUAAGAUAAUAAUCACGCGUUAUUCAUUUAUUAUAUGUAAGGAGCUUGGUUUAAGUAAAUGAAGCAAGGAGCAGUCAUACAUUAUUUUUAUUUAUUAUUAGCGAUGAAGAAAGCGACCAUAUAAAUCAACUAAAGCAAGGUAUUUAACUACAUGGUUAAUUUUACACUAAAAUUAGGCAAGCUUUAAGUAGGUGAUUGGUGACAAGUAAUUGAUUUUAUUUUAGACAGAUCUUGAGUGCAAAUAUUAGAAUGGGAACGAUCAAACAGAACACACUCCUAUAGGCAUGCUUUCUAACAACAAGUAAGUUUGCGACAAAGUAGCAAUUAGCACAUAAACUCCCUCCCCUUGGACGAUCCCCAAGAUUAUUUCAUAUAUAUAGAGAGUGUUACUACAAAAAUUAUUACAACACCAAAUAAAAUAAUACAAAUAUUAUAAACACGAAUGAAAACUAGAUCCCAUCUGAAAGAUCCAUCCUUGGCGACUCUUCGAACUUGAAACCAAGUUCGAACCUGCUAAAGUGAGAUACAGACAUAUAUGUGGCAUACAAUAAUAUAAUAUAAUAAAACAAUAGCAUUAAUUACGGGCAGAUUCAACAUAUGCGCAUGUUCAUUUUAUACAUAUUCGACAAAACAAGCAUUUAGACAAGUAAAGCAUAAUGACAAAUAUAAUAUCACACAGAGCGAGGAGAGAGAGAAAAUUGACAUGGAUCUUCCCUUUUUAUUUCAUUUUUCAAAGACACAACAACAUUGGUAAUAAAUUAAUACAAGACGAAAUUUAAACUAAUGAAGAAGAGCUAAACGAUUAUGCAGAAAGUUUUAUCAGCAAUGAAGUAUUUUAACAAAAUAUCCAAACCGAAUCAGCUACACAACAACACAGCAAAGCGAGAGCAGUUCAAUGCUUUAGACUUCUUUUCUUUUAAACCGUAAUGUAUUUUUUUCUUUUUAGUGUGAAGAGUGUGUAAGAGUGCUCAACUGUGUGAUGGUUCUAUCCUUCUUUUAUAAUGAGAAAAAGGGCCAUUUUAUAUAAUAGAAGAACAGAGCAUUCAAAGGAAAACAAUAAAUUAAGGAGUCAAUUAUAAUUUAUUUCCUUAAACAAUCGGGAACCGAAUCAAAUUCUAUAUAAUUUAUUUUAUUUUAUUUUUUUACCAAAUAUAAAAGCAAGUGAGAAUCUGCAUAAUAAAUAAAAAAAUGUUAAUAUUCUUUAAUAUUCACAAGCAAUUUAUUACCAUAUAAUCAGACAAAUCAGAAACGGGCAAGAGACAAUUAUGGAAAUAAAAUCAAUUUACUGGAUCAAGCAAAGAAUCAAUUCAAUUUAAACAAACUGCAUUACCUUAAAGAAAGCCAUAAAUCAUGGUUCAAGCAACUAGAGUUAUUGACCAUUUCAAAUAAUCAAUUAUAUGCGAGAAAACAUUAACAGAUUAGCAUAAUUAGGAGAAAUCGAAGCAACAUUUAAUCGGUUGAUUAUGCAUUACCAAUAUCAGCAGUCAUAUUAUCAUCCAUUUGAAGUCUUAAAUCAUAUGACACCAUAUCAUUAUCAAGCUAACAAACAAAUCCGCAAAAACAUGAGAAAUCAUAACUAGUACGGUUCACAUUUAAAAUGGAAUAACCUUUCAUAAAGUGAGCAUGCAUAACAACAUUUAUACAUCAGAAAAUCCAUGCCAAAUUGUGAAUGAAAAUAAGAACAAAGAUUAUUAAAAGAUGAGAUAAUAAUUUUAAAGAACUAUACCUGGACAGAUCUGUUAGAGAUCCGUCUUUUAAACCAACUCAAAAUUUCAAAAGCUCCAGCGGAGCUCGCUUGUUCAGAGCUUAUUGUUUCUAUUUGCUGGCGUCACUGACCUCACAUGGCCACUGGUUCUCGCCAGAAAGAGAAGAGAAGCGAGGCGGCGCUGGCUCUAUCUUCUCGCCGGUGGCUGCUGCUUCCUUGCUGCUCGUUGUUGUUGUUGUUUGCACCGACUGGAGUUGCUGCCAGCGAUAGAGGCUUGCUGGUGGUUCUCGCCAGCUGCUGGAGGUUUUGUUGUUCGGAUCUUGCUGCUGUCGCCGAAAAAAUAGGAGACCGACGCUGGCCUGCUGCUCGGAGCAACGUCAUUGCUGCUCUCCGGUGGCUUCACUGGUCGGAGUUGCUGCACGUGCUCGCUUGGCUGCUGUAUCUUUGCCGACUGCUUGCUGCUGCUGGUCCUGUGAAGAGAGUAGAGAAAAGAGAAGAAAAAGGGACGAGAAGAGAUGAGAGGCGGAUCAAAGAGGAAGAAUGAAGAAUUAAGUUAAGGUUUGGGGGUAUUUUGAUUAAAAUAGGAAAGUUAGGAUCUUAAAUCAGGACCAUUGAAUCGUUUUUAGAUGAAAGGCUGAGAUUUAAACCGAAUGAGAUAGACGGUCAAGAUUUAAAGGAGGGAUCUUAAAUCAGAUUGGAUUGGAUUUGAAAUGGCCAAAAUUGAAAUAAAAUUGGCUAGAAUUGCAAUGAAAGGGUGGUUAUUAUUGAAAUAAAAUUGAAAUUGAUUAGGCUAGAAUUGAAAGGAAUUAGAAUAAAAUAGGCUACAAUUUAAAUGAUUUUGAGGGAAAUUAAAGAAAUGCUAUCUAAUUAAAAUACUACAAAUAUUAUAACAUUUUAUAUAAUCACUUAAAUUUUAAAACAUUUAAAUAAAAUAAUUAAUUUGAGUCUUACUAAUAAUUUUUUAAAAUAUUUUAAAUAAUAUUUAGGAUAAUUUUAUAAAGCAUGCAUACUAAAAUGUAUAAUNNNNNNNNNNNNNNNNNNNNNNNNNNNNNNNNNNNNNNNNNNNNNNNNNNNNNNNNNNNNNNNNNNNNNNNNNNNNNNNNNNNNNNNNNNNNNNNNNNNNUUUAUAAAGCAUGCAUACUAAAAUGUAUAAUUUUAGAUAAAAAUAGAUUAAAAAUUUAAUAUGUUUGAAAAAACGUAUUUAACCGAAUAACACUUCCGAAAGGGGUAUAGGUCGGUCAAAAUUGGGUGUCAACAGUGUGUAUCCUAUUUUAGGGUGGAUGAACCCAAAUGUGUGUAUAUCUUAUUUUAGGGUGGAUGAACCCGUCUUAUCCUAUUUUAGGGUGGACGAACCCAUGUAUCCUAUUUUAGGGUGGAUAGACCCAUGUCCUAUUUUAGGGUGGAUAAAUCCAUGUCCUAUUUUAGGGUGGACGAACCCGUGUAUCCUAUUUUAGGGUGGACGAAUACGAUAUAUCCUAUUAUAGGGUGGAUGAACCGAUGUCCCAUUUUAGGGUGGAUGAACCCGGUGUGUGUCCUAUUUUAGAGUGGACAACCCCAAUAUGUCCUAUUGAAGGCAGACAUGCCUAAUGUCCUCCGAUUGUCUACAAGGACUAGUUGUAAUGAGGCCUCCGAUUGUCUUCAGGAUUUGAUAAAGUGAUUCCUCCGAUUGUUUUCGAGGCUUGAUGACAUUUUUUAUAAAAUUGUAGAGUAAAAUUAUAAAUAAAGUAGUGAUAAAGUAAAAUAAAAUAAAGGUAAGUGAGAAAUAAAGUUGUGGGGCUGAGUGAUGUCUUCAGUUAUCUUUGGAAGCUUAUUGUUGAUUCCUAUAAAAUUCAAUAAUAAAGUAGUUAAGGGGGAUAAAGUGAAUUAUAAAGGUACUUAAUGAAGUAAAAAAUAAAAUAAUUUAAGUUGCUCGUUUGUUGUUUAUGUUGAUAAUUGUAAAUAGUUGAACAUCGACUUAGAUCUUCGAUAUUUAAGCCUUGAUGUUCAAUUUACUGGAUCGAGUGGAGCAUAUAAUGGACUUGAUUCUUAUUCAAUAAAUCAAGGGGAUUUUUCCUGCAAAUUUCGGGUAAAGACAUUAGUAAAAAUAUAAAGUCAUGAUGAAGUAAAAGAAAUAAAGUCAGAGAUAAAGUGAAAGGUUGGGUCACUUGGCUUAUUCAGGCGAGGUCCUGGAGGUAAAUGAUGACUUUAAUGUAAUCCAAUAGUGACUUCUUGUAUCUUUGUUGUUCCUGCACUCAAAGAAACAUUCUUAGUUGGGAGGGGGUGUUGAUUCGUAUUGACUCAAAGCUUAACUUUGUUGGCCCUCCGUUCAUCUUGUUUGUUCAGACCUUGUGAUCUCCUUUUGAGACCUGGUAGUUGAACAGUAAAAAGAGUAUAUUUUUUAUAAAAUAAAAGUAAAAUAAGGAUUAUCAUCUGAAAGAGACAUUUGUUAGUAUACAGAAAAAUAUGUAACUCUAUGUUUAUAAGUUGUAUAAAAAAUAUUUUCUAUCAAUUCUUAGAUUGUGACACUUCUGAAACAAAAUGAAACAUCCUUUGUAUGUUUUCUUCUUUUGGAGUUGCUUAAAUACAAUGUAACUUGACAAUAUUCAAUCAUUCCUUGCCUAUGUUUUCCAAAAUCUGCCUAGUGUUGAUUUCAAAGAAGUAUACUAAACUUCUGUCAUUGUGAGACCGAACCUUAUAUAGUUUGCCUAUAUAUCUCGCCAAGAGAAUCAGAUUAGUACGUAGUUCAAGGUACAUAGAAAUGAUUUGAAUUUUUUUAUUAAAGGGACCGAACUCGAUAUGAGUUGCCUACAUAUCCCGCCAAGGAAAUCAGGCCAUGUGUAGUUCAAAUUACAUAAAUAGUAAAAGGAUUUUGAAUUUCUAUCUUAAUGUGACUGAACCGUAUAUGGGUGGCCUACGUAUCCCGUCGAGGGAAUCGAGCCAGGCAUAGUUCUGCUAUUACAAAUAAGGAAAUUUAGAAAUGUUACUGUAGUAAAACUGAACCCUAUGUGGGCUGCCUAUAUCCUACCAAAGCAAUCAGGUCAGAAUGUAGUUCGUAACUUACCUGAAAAGUGGAAGUUACAUUCAAAAGAAACAUAUCUAAAGUCGCCCUUUGGUGUAGUGUCUUGACUUCUCUUGAAUGGGCAAACUUUAUGCUCGGACAUUGUCAUGUUCCUCGAUCGAUUGUGAGUUAUCUUCCUAUCCUCCAAAAAUCUUGCGUGGCUUUCAAACUUUUUUCAUUUGUUUCAUUAUGUCAUAAUCAUAAAGUUGAUAGAUUUGAAAAUUAAUAUAUAAAAUAAAUAUUUGAAACUAAAAAGUAAAUUCAUAGAUUUUGCAAUUUAGCUUUCAAAAAAUGAGGCAAAACAACAUAUAGUUUUAAGGCACGAUUUAAGCCUCAAUUUUUAAAAUCGUGCUAUUUCAAAAGUGUUACUACUUGUUCAAUCUACCAAGACCCCCGGUGAACCAAAAACAGAGUACAAGUCCAAUUCUUCAAAGUCUCCUCUGGUUCAGCACCCCAAAUGGUCGGUGUCUCGGUGUUGUAGAGAAGCAUGUAAGCAGUUGUAGAAGUAACCUCUAUCAAUGAUUGUUCUUGGGUUGUCAUGGCAGAAGCAUGAAAGGUCAAUAAGGUAUCCUUUUCCACCUUUCCAAUGGACAUAAUACUUCAUUUCACUUCCAAGUCUUCCUCGAUAGUUAUCAUGUUCACAUUAGCAUUUCGAUGUUUAGGCAGAGGGUUGUUGUUGACAUUGGGCUGAGUUCCAGUAAGUUUGAUUGCUCCUUCUUUAAUCAAAGCUUCAAUCUUGUUUUUGAGACCAUAACAAUCCUUAGUGUCAUGUCCAACAAUUCCAGAAUGAUAGGCACAACGCUUGGAACCAUCAAACCAUUUUGGAAUAGGAUUAGGAAUUUUCCCUUCAAUCGGUUGUAUCAUACAUGCUGUUUUCAACCUCUCAAACAACUGAGCCAAUGGUUCGACUAUUUUGAUAUAGUUACAAGUGGUUUUGAUUUCAUGAUUUGGACGAGCUCUAGGUGCAGCAUAUGGUCUAUUUUGAAAAGUUGAAGCUUGGACUGGUUAGUAUGAAUGUGGUUUAUGGUAAGUAGGAGAUCGAGGGUUGAUAGUAGUUUGUCUAGGUGUUGUAUACAUGGUAAGGAGUUGAUGGAGAAUGAUAGAGAGUUUGUGAGGCUUCACCAAAUUGGUAAGGGAAAAUGGGUUGAUGUGGUUGAUUUAGGUAGGGAUAAACUUGACUUGGCAUGCGUCCUUGGUCAAUCAUGACAUCAGAUACAUCUUCUUUCUUCUUUUUGUUCCCAUUGAUAGAACCAUAUUGAAUCGCUUUGCUUGCAGCUUGCAAGGCUAUAAAGUUUUAGAUUCUUCCUGAUUUGAUUGCUUUUUCCAAGAUUUCUCCCAUUCUAAUAAUUUAUGUGAACUUUUGUCCCAUCAUGGUUAUCAUUUUCUCAUAGUAAAGACUGUUAUCGUGGCAAUCAAUGAAGGUAGCAGUCAUUUCACUUUCACACAUCGGUGUCUCAAUUGACUUCUUCUUUAACUCAGUCGGGUAGAACCUAUCUAGUGUGAUGUCGGUAUUGAACUUGAAUCAAUCCAUAAAGUCUUGUGCCAUAUCACUCCAACCACGCCAUUUAUGGAGUCUUGUUGUGUGGACCAAGCAAAAGCUUCACCAGAUAAACUUUUUAUGAACAACUUCAUUGUGACCCUCUUAUCUCUCCUCACUCCUACCAGUUUGUCACAAUAUGCCCUUAGAUGUGUGGGGGGUCAUCGAUUCCAUUGAAUAUAUCAAACUAUGGUGGUUUGUAUCCUACAGGCAAGGCAAUGUCGGGUUACACACACAAAUCCUCAUAUUCUAAGCUUUUGUUUCCCCUAAUAGUUUGGAGGUUUCUCAUUGCUUCCUUAAGAUCACGAAUCUCUCUAGCUAACACAUCAUCAGCCUUUGCCUUGAUAUCCUUCUCCAUUUCCAUAUAUUGAUCUACCUCGGGUUGAAACUUGAUCGAUAUUGGGUUGGUAAAGGCUUGAGUUUCCAUCGCGUAUACUAGAGAAACUUAUUGUGAAUAAGGAUUGGCAAUAUGUGCCCCUUGUAUAUGCUGAGAAGGAUAAGUUUAGACAAUGGGUGUCUUUUGGAUUGGAGGUAGUGGGUUUGAUGGGUUUACGGGAGUACUUGUAGGUAGUGGAUAGGUGUUAGUGGGUAGAGAAACAUAAGGAGUAUGAGUUGGAGGUUGAUUUUGUGGGUUGACAGGUGGUGGAUUAGGAGGAGUAGCAUAAGUAGUGUAGGUAGGUGGUUGAUUUUGUGGAGGAGUGUAGAUGGGUGGCAAAUUUGAUGGAUUUGCGGGGGGUAGUUGGAAGAAGGUUAUUGUUGAUAGGCAAAGGUUGUUGUGGAGGAAAGUUUUCAGGAACUGAUGAAUCAAGUGAUGGAAAACGAGGUGGGUUUGGUGCAGUACUUCUAGGUUCAGGAAGUGGACUUUAAAGUGUAAUGGGGGAUAGAUUGGUGAAGUCCCUAACCCGAGUUAGUUCACUACGUAGAUCCUCAAUCUCUUGAGUCAAGCGGGAGAUGUGUUCAUCAUGUGGAAUAGUAGUUCUAUCUUCGAAAGUCUCAGGAGAGCCAUUAGGAACCAUGAUAUGUCCUGGACCAAUUUGAUCAAACGAGGUUGGAUUAGCCAUCGUGGUUUUCUUUCCUUGAAUAGCCCAACUACGUCGAGGUAACGCCGAUGACUUGGACCUUGUGAAGUAAGGAUGGUCGGCCAACUCGAUUGUCAAUACGAAUCAACUUUGGUUGAAAAAAAAAAGGAAGAUAGAAACAAAAAUAAUAAAACACAAAUAAUGUUAGUUUUAAAUGAAAAAGUAAAGUCAUGUUCACAUAAUUCAAAUAAAUCAUGUAACAUGCAAGUCAUCAAGUAGAGUCAAAUAUGUUGUAAGAAUAACAUGUAAACAAGUCAUCAAGUAAAGUCAAAUAUAUUGUAAAGAUAACAUCUAAAUGUGUCCUAAUAUGUUUGUGACCUCUUUGUGCUAGAGGUAGGCCUAACGUAGAUUCGAGGAGUAUAUUUGCCAUAAUAUGUCAUCCCAUUGCUCUUGAUUAAUUAAACAAAUUAUUAAUUUUUAAGAAUAAGGUACAAAAUAGUGAAAUUUUUUUAUUACAUGUCGAAUGAAUACAACGUAAAGUACUAAAACAAAGUAAAAGAGAUUUUGUUAGGUCCAUCCUUCUUGGUUCCUUUUGAUGAUAUCGCCACUUUUUGUACUCCAUCGGCAAGUCUUCGUACCUGUCACGGGAAGGUUAGUCAUACCAACCCCUAAAGUUAAAUUAAUUAGAGAAAAUGAUCCAUAUUUAGGCAUAAAUAUUUCUCAAAUAUGCACAUAAAUAAUGAUAGGUCAUCACUUGGGGUCGAAAACUCACUUGGACAUUUAAGGUAAAGUCGACUAAUGGACUUAAUACACCAAGGGUAUAAAGCCUCUUAAGUCAUAAAAUGAUGUUUGCUCCUUGUAAAGUGUAUUGGUUUAGCGCUACUCUAGGUAAACUAGGAGUGGGUUUGCUAGACACAAGAUUUUCGAGUGGACUACUCGAGUGAGAAGGCUACGCGGUCACACGAAAAAAGAUUUGGACACCCCGCUCAUAUGCCAACUCUCCUAAAUUUGAAAUUUUGAAAGAAAUUUACGGGUGCACAAAACACACUUCACGUGUACGUGUGAUAGUGUGAAUUUCCAAGAAGUAGAGAAAUAUGAACGGAAUGACAGUUAAGAAAAGUAAUACUCCCUCCGUUUCAAAAAAGAUUGGUCUGGUUUGACUUGACACGAAGUUUAAGAAAUUAAAGAAGACUUUUGAAUCUUGUGGUCCUAAAUUAAAGUUAUGUCAAAUGUACAAAAUUGCCCUUAAUCUUGUGGUCUUAAACAUGUCACGUGAAAAGCAAAAAGUAAAAUGUUACCAAAAAAGGAAAGAGGUCAUUUUUUUAAACUGACUAAAAAGGAAAGGAGGUCAUUCUUUGUGAAACGAAGGGAGUAACAAAUAAACAUUUAUAACAAACAAACAAUUUAUAGCAUGUAAGAAUAAUUUAUAGCUAAUUAAUAAUUUAUAUCAUGUGAAAAUAAUUCAAAGCAAACAAACAAUCGAUAGCAUGUAAAACCAAUUUUCGACAAAUAACCUAAUUAAAGUAAGCACAUAAAAGUCUAAUUAAACUAAGUCUGUUAUGGUUAGAACCUAACAAGUCCCCAGUGAAGUCGUCAAGUUGUUAUAUCUCAUUUUAACCGGGUCAAAAUAGUGUACAACAUUUUGGUGAUUUCCAAAUUAAUAACUAGCUUAAGAAGUCGCCACCUAAUUAUUACGGUGAAUUAGGGUACCUAAAUUGAUUAAAGUUAUUGUCUAAAGUUAACUCCAUUUUAAGGUCUAGUAAACAUGAGAUUGUAGGUAAGAGUCCAACUAAUCUAAAGAGAAGGGGUUAUGCAUCUUUUAAAAUUCAUUAAAAAUGGUUAAUCGAUCGAACUUGAUUAAUUAAUUAGGCUAAGUGUCAAAAUAAAAUAUUAAAAUGAAAAUUGAAUAUUUGGAUAAAAAUAGUUUAAAAGAAAAGUACACUUUUUUGUCUAAAAAUAGCUUACAUGAACAAACUCAAGUUUAAACAAAUUAUUUCUUGUUUUGUCAGAUCCACAGUAACAAAGUUAUUACCAAGAAAUUUUGAAAUAAAAGCGACCAAAAUAAAAUCAUUUCUUGACUUAAAAUCACAUAUUCAAAACUUUAUUUUAGACGGAUCGAGACCGAAAAAGUUUUGAGACUAAGGGUGUAUUUGGUAUGAAGGAAAAUGUUUUCCAUGGAAAAUAUUUUCCUAGAAAAAGUUUUCCUGGAAAACAUUUUCCUAGAAAAAGUUUUCCUGGAAAACAAGUUGAUUUUUGACUUAUUUUUUCAUGUUUGGUUGGUGAGUAGAAAAUAUUUUUCGAAAAAAAAUUUUAGUGUUUGAUUUAUGAAUGAAAAAUAUUUUUGAAAAAUAUCUUUUAUUUUUACUAGAGUAGAAAAUAAUUUUUGAAAUUGAAAAUANNNNNNNNNNNNNNNNNNNNNNNNNNNNNNNNNNNNNNNNNNNNNNNNNNNNNNNNNNNNNNNNNNNNNNNNNNNNNNNNNNNNNNNNNNNNNNNGGUGUAGGGGGUGGGGGUAGGGGUGAGCGUGAGUAAAAAAAUUGAAUUUAAAAAUAAGCUUUAAAAUUUAUUUAUUUAUUUUGCGGGGGGGAGGGGGGGUGGUUUGAGGUAGAGACAAAAUAAAUUGAUUUUUUCAACAAAAAAAAUAAUUAUAAUUUGAAGUUGGAAGAGAGUUUGGAAAAAUAUUUUCCUUAAGUUUAGAAGGGAAUUCAUUUUCCUUAAAUUUGAGAAAAAUGAAUUGCUUUGAAAAACAUUUAGCCCAAUCAAACUUGAGAAAAUUGGAAAACAUUUUUUGAAAAGUGUUUUCCUUCAUACCAAACACACCCUAAAACUUGAUUUCAAAAGUGGUGUAGAAUACUAAUGUAAUAUAUAUGUUAUAGGCUCAAAAGUAGUUUUAAUGUACAAGAUAGUAUAGUUAUUUAUAUAUAUUUAAAAGAAAAGUAAAUAGAGCCUCCAAAAGGCUUUACUAAAAGAGAAAAAAAGAAAGUCUUUUGUAAACAAAAACUGUACGGCAAAUUACAUAAAUCACAUAUUUUUAAGGCAAAAUUACAAUAUGUUCCUUAAAAGUUUAUAAUUACACAAAUUCUUCAAACGGAUAUAAUAAUAUAAACACUGAUACAUUAAUCUGAUGUGCGAGAUACAUUAAUCGUUAAGUAAGAUACAUUACAUUUUAUACAUGAUACAUUAAUCUGAUGUGCGAUAUACAAUAAUAUAAGCGUUGAUACAUUAAUUUGAUGCGCGAAAAUGAGGAAUUUUGGAGAUUUGUAAAACUUAUAGGGGAUAGUGGUAAUAAGUAAACUAAAAGGUGAAUUUCUGUAAUUUUUCCAAAAUAGUAUUGCAAGUCAACCCCAAAAAAAUCUGAUUUAAUACAUUAAAUAAAAUAAAGGUUAGCUGAUUUUUAAUCACAAAUCAAAUGAUUUGACAAAUUAUCAAAAAUUUAAGGUCAUUAAAUCUAGGAGUAAAAAAAUAUUAUAAACAUGAAUAAGCUACUAACUAGAGGUAAAUUGCUAAGGCAUUCAAGCAGAUUUGUGCAAAUUCUAACAACAAGACAAACAAAUAAGUAAGCAUAACAGCAAGUAAUGUGCUAGAUAACUAAUUAACUAUAAUGUCUCAUUUUAACCGGACACGUCUCUAAAAAUAGGAAAAGCGAAUAGAUGUAGUGUGAAAGAAAUGUAUAUGAUCAAUUCCAUGUGAGGUAUAUGCGAGCUCUAUGCAGUAGUGGUGUCGUUGAGUUUCAAAACUAGACUCGCCGGCUCCAAUUUUCAUGCCAAAUAAACAUGAGAAAAUAGAUGAGGAAAAUUGAUUCUUGAUACUAUAUAAAAGAAGAUAAUAGUCAAUCGAAAGUUAUAGUAAUCACUCCAACAACAUGUUGUAUUCUCAUCUAAGCCAAACUAAAUAUACGUACUUGACACAAAUUAAGUAUACACAAAACAUGCUCCAUAAAUAUAUGUCUAAACACUUUUAUUAUAUCAAAAUAAUAGUUCAAAAUCUUUAGUCAUAGUAAGUACACAUUAUCUACAUAUUAGCAUAUCCUAUUCAAACCAAAGUAGUCAACUUAUCAUUAUUUUUGGACAAAAAAAAAAAGGUAAGGGCCAUCCAACUCAAGUUUCAAAUCUUGCAGGAUACAUAGCAGUACAUGAUAUCUCCGUCCAUAUGAUUAGGAUCAGAUUUUCAAACGACCCUAAAAGACAUUAUAAUAUCACGGAAGUACACAAUUUAUUAACACGUCGUAAUGUAACUACGGACAAAGAAAUAUCCAACUCAUUAUUUUCUAACACAACCACGGAUGCUUAAUUAAAUAGUCAGAAACCAAAAAGAUUGAACUUUACCUUUUGUAGUGCAGUAAACUAGGGACGUU
rnacentral:lncRNA from 1 species